CGCCUGGGUGGCGCAGUCGGUUAAGGGUCCGACUUCAGCCAGGUCACGAUCUCACGGUCCGUGAGUUCGAGCCCCGCGUCGGGCUCUGGGCUGAUGAUGGCCCAGAGCCUGGAGCCUGCUUCCGAUUCUGUGUCUCCCUCUCUCUCUGACCCUCCCCCAUUCAUGCUCUGCCUCUCUCU